CAUGCCCUGCAUAUUCUAAUAUCUGCAUCCUCAUGGCUUUGUUGAAGGUCUUGGGAGUAUAUAAGGCGGACUCCACACUCCUUUACUUUCAAGACUUUCUCAGAAUUAAUGUAAAAGUCGAAAAAGGAAAACCCAAUGAAAGUCCGUUGAUCAGAGCAAAACCUUUCCGGAAUAACUGCCUUGGGAUAGCAAAUCACCCACGUCUGACCUGAUACACUCUCAUUAUCUUCGUCCUUGUCUUUUUUAUAGCAAAAACAAUUGGAUUGAAAGAAGGAACGAUCUACCAAUUCAACUCCAUCACCAGCCACAUCCAAACAACAGCUAAGACGACAAGGAUGUGUAUGUUUAUGUUCAUUCUUACGAAAAGAUUCAGCCACAGAUUUAUCGUCUGUUUCAUUCUCCCAUGUAUGAGCAGAUUCAUCCUCAGAUUUAUUAGCUGAUUCAUUCUUGGACCCGUGUGCAGAUUCCUUUUCAGGUAUGUCCUCAGAUUCGUAAGCAAAUGGAACAUAAACACAACAUAGAGCAAAUCCCAAAAACUCAUUAUUUUGGUGCCAAUUCUGAGGGAGCUCUGUUUCUGUAAAAUAUCUUUUUGUCCGAUCCAUAAUCCAUUCUGGAAUUCCAUCAGUUCUGGGAAGAACAAUGCAAGUUCCCUUGCCACGGUAGGAAGAAUCACUAAAACUAGUGCGUUUCAAACCCUGCACCAAAGCACCAUGUAAAUAUAGAGUCUGCAUAUAUAACUAGUGUGUGACAUGAAAAUCAUACCUGUGCCCAACUGAAGCAAUUGACCAGAGAAUGCAAUGGCAAAAACAGGGCUCUUGAUGAAGUGCGAUUUGAACCAUGUGCAUCUAAAAGCCGUAGACGUGAUGGAAGCUCUGGAAUUUGUUCAAGAUUGUUGCAGUGACUAAGGUUAAGGACUUCCAGCCUGGAAAGCUGAUUGAUGGUAGUAGGUAUGCUACUAAAAUGACCCUGUUCCAGAUUUAGUUUCUGUAAUGAUGAUAAAUGGCAAAUAUCACUAGGAAUUCCUCCUUCCAUUAUGUUGCAGUGACCUAGGUCCAAUUCUUUCAAUGAUGAUAAAUGGCAAAUAUGAUUAGGGAUUUGGUGGAGCUUUAAACACUCUUGAAGUAGGAGAGUUUGAAGACCAUUUAGAUGUGUAAUUGAUGAUGGUAAGUCCAUUAUAGCUGUUCCACUCAAAUCAAGCACCCUUAGCUCUCUCAUAUCGCCUUUGAUUUCUGGAAAUCUCUCUAGCUUUGAACAGCCAUUGCAAGACAAAGUUUGAAGGUGUUUCCACUUGUAAAUGCCUCUUGGAAGAAGCUCCAGGUUUACACACCCUGCCAGAUUCAAGGGAAAAAGAAAAACCAAGUUAGUUUUAGUAAUUAUAAUACUGCUGCACCAAACUUUUAAGUACCGUUGUACAACCUUCUAGAGUUAGAAUCUCCAAGUUUGGCACACUUGAGAAGUCUGGGAUUCUUAUGAGAUGGACAGAGUGACUGAGAUCAAUAACCCUCAACUUGUCAUGAAGCUGUAACAAAAUAAUUUUUUUCAAUAGAUAAAUUUACACGUUAAAAAUUAAUAUAAAAUUAAACUGUAACUAAAUAAUAAUAACAAUACCUUAUUGCCCCUCCAAACUUGCUUUAUAUUGCUGUCCCUUAAUGAGAGUUCAACAAGGUUCUUUGCAUGAAAAUUCAUUGGCAAAGAUUCUAAAGGGUAUCCAUCCCAAUGCAGAUAUGCUAACUCAUAGGAAUAGAAUUCAAAGUCCCUUGGAAGGUGGUCUUUAAGAAAUAGCUUUCUACGAGGGUUAUGGAUUUUGAGCAGUCUAAGUCUAUUCAUCUCUUUGAAAGAUUCUGUAGUAAGCUCUGAUGGAUUAAAUUUACAUCUAUCUAAGAAUAGUCCUUCAAUUGCUCGUGUCCCCUGAAAAAUAUAAGAUGAGUAGGUGAAACAAAAGAUGCAUUAGGCUUAAUUGAGUUAUACACACGGCUAAUUUCUGAAAAAAAUAAUAAUAGUAAUGAAGCUUGCAUACACACGUAUAAACAAGUUCAUGCAUUUGACUCUUACCUUAUUUCCUGUUAGCACAUGAUAGGCAUUAGAAUCGCAUAAUCUACUCCUUCUUCCAGGGUCUUCCGGACAUUCUUGACGAAUAAUCUCCCAACCCAUUUGUUGUAUUAAAUCAUGCAUAUCUAGCAUGUUUUUUGAAACAGUUAUGAGACAUCUAUCAUCUAGAGUUGUUAUUGCGUGCUUUGCAUGAGGGCCCAAUAUUCUUGAAACAAAAUCUCUAUCAUCUCCUUUGAAAAAGCAUGCAACAUCCAAAAAUAUCCCCUUGUCUAUAUCAUCGAGUCCAUCAAAACUUAUUCUAAGUACAUUGUGAAUUUCCAUGUGGGGCAUUAUUUUUAGCUUACACAGUGCACUUUCCCAAUUACUUAUUUUCUUUCCAAAAAGAGAAGCACCUAAAACUUUAAGUGCUAACGGAAGGCCAUUAGCAUAAUCUAUGAUAUUGUAUGAGAGAUUUUUAUAAACUUCUUGGGGACGAUUUUGUUUAAAGGCCCACAAACUAAAGAGCUCAAUAGCUUCUUCCUUGUUUAAUUUUGAAACCUCAUAUCGUAUAUCCGCUCCAUAUUGAGCAAGUACAUGUUUGUCUCUAGAUGUAAUGAUGAUUGUACUUUUUGCCCGAAACCAAUCCUUCUCUUCAGCCAAAUAUUCUAGUUGUUUCAACUCAUCCACAUCAUCAAAAAUAACAAGAACUCUAUUGGAGCUUAGACACCUCUUUAUCAUACUAAUUCCUUCAUCAACAUUGUUUAUUUUAAAAUUUUUUCCCCUUAGGAUACCAUGAAGAAGUUCUUGCUGUAACUGAAGUAUAUCACCUUUGGAUCUCUCUUUGAUAUUUAUAAGAAAGCUACUACCAUCAUAUUGAUGUGAGAUCUCAUUAUAAAUAGCCUUGGCGAUAGUAGUCUUGCCAACCCCACCAAUUCCAUAUAUCCCUACGACACUAACCAUAUUUAACUCAGUGUUCAUCAACGAUUUCAAUUUUUCCAAAUGAACACCAAUUCCAACUAUGUUCUUUCCCACACUUAAAGGUUGAUGGUUUAAUCUUCUAAUGAUUGUAUCAACAAUUUCCUUGACAACCUCGGUCUCAUACCUGCCAAUCAUAUAAAUUAAGUACAAUGAUGAGUUAGAAUGAGUUGCAAAAUAUAAUAAAUUUAAAAUAAAUUUAGUCUUGUAUGGCCGUGUCCAAUAUUACUGAAUUAGUAGCAAUGGAAUGAAAAAGAAAGGGGUGAAGCCAAUUUACUUACAUAUUUAAGCUUUAAAAUUUGUAAGUAUCAAACUACUAAAAAUGUGCCAAGUUGCAAAAUUUCAAUACUCUUACUGUUAGAGCAUUGUGUAGGACUCCUCUAUGAACAAGCUAAUGCCUUCUUUCAACUUUGAUUUCACAAACAACUUGCUUAUGAUUCCUCAAUUUCACUUGUCUUUAGGUUUUAUUAACUUACCAAUACUUACCAAUGUUGCAAAGACUCUGUUUUUAGCCUGCCAAUUAAUUUUGCAUUUCCAUAGAGGAAUCAGGAAACAAGUGAAUGUGGAGAAUUUCAUGAUUUGCUUGUUGGUUGGGAACUUAAAUAUGAUUUGCUUUAGAGAAAAUUAUAAAAGGGUUAAAUUUUGAUACUUGUAUUUUUGGACCAACACAAGGGAAAAAUGAAAGUCAGAUUUUGUUGACAAUUUCAUACUUACUGGUCAUUCACAUGGCAUCCAGAUAGAUUAGCUGCUUUUCUCAAGGCAAUCCUCCACUUUUGUAUCAUCUCCUUCUUUUCUUGAUUUGCAUCUCUUUCAUGGUAGGCAAGUGCGUCUCCGAAACUCCCCCUUUGGUUUCGUACAUCAGAUGGAUCCACAUGGUAGAAAAUUGGUAGAACCACUGAUUCCUUUUGGCUCUUGCGUUCAAUGAUCUUUACGAGUUCAUUUAAACACCAUCUGGAGUAAGCAUAAUUUUUUGAGAAAAUAAUAAUAAAAAACCUCGAUUCUUCUAUAGCUCUCAAGAGAUCAGAUGCAAUAUCUCCUCCUUUCUCAAGUUCUUCAUCAUCUCUGAAAGUUUGAAUUCCAGAUGCAGUCAAUGUGGUAUAUAGAUGAUCAGUGAAAUUUCUGCGAGUAUCGCCACCUCUAAAACUCAAGAACACAUCAUAAUUACGAGAAAUAGAAGUAGUCGAAGAAGAGGCUCUAUGGGUGCUGGAAGAAGCCAUUUUUGGAUGGCUUGAACCAAAAUUACAAGGGAGUUUGGAGGGUCCUUGGAUGCUCAAUGACUAUUGGCUCCAGACCUCUUCACCAUGAACAAAAAUCCAAGCUGGGAGGGAGGUUCAGCUGAAAAGCUUCAUCUGCAGUCGUAAAAGAAAAGAAAAACGUAUAUAAAGCCCUCUUUGAGAAAUUUCUUUGUAUAUAAAUUCUAAGAGAAACUCACACAUAUUUUACCUUUUGGUUGGGGAAGAUCCUUUCUCCAUUCCCUUUGUGUUGGAGACUGCAUUAAGGGAUGCAGAGAAGAUGGUGGGGAAGGUGUUGAAGAAGAGGCGGUGGGUAGCAGAGGUCUCGUUGACUGGGUGGAUGGAAUCGAGGUAAGGAAUUCUAAUAUUUUGAAAUGAAAUUUCAUGGAAGGUGUUGUUUUCAGUUUUUGUUUCCACAAAUAUUUGUGCGCGGCACCUAUGAUGAUGAGAAAUCCCUAAUUAAGACUAAGUAAUAUUGCUUUCCUUUUUAAUUAAUCAUUUAUACUUAAUUUUUUUCCGUCAACUUAAGUAUUUUGAUAAUAUUAUUUGUUAUAGAUAUUGAUGGGAAAAUUCUAUCAUCUUUCUAAGAGAUUUAUUAGAUUCUUGUUGGAAAUCCACGUCAAAGUAGGCUGCUAACUAAAAGUUAAUAGAGGUCUGUGACUUUCACAUUAAAAAAUAGUUGGAUUGAUGUAGAAAAGGCAAACCUUCCCCCCACACCCAAAUGUAAUAUUUCAUUAUUUUUUGUAAUUUUAUUUUUCUCUCUAGUUCCUAUAUUUGUACAACUUCCUCCUUUAGUUUAGUUCCUUUUCUUUGUAAUAUUUAUUUUGAUAUUUUUACAACUUAAAUUUAUGGAAUAUCUUUAUUUAAUAAUUUUUAUAAAAAAUAUUAAGUUUUUAUAGAUAUAUCAAUAUAUAGGUUUUACAUAUAUAUUGGGAUAUAUAAGGAAAUAUCGAUGAAAUGGAAAUUGAUCAAAAAUUAUAAAAAUAUUCAAUAUAAUUCAAUAAAAAUGAAUAUUAGAAAUAAUAAUAAACAUUUUGAUAUUGUUUUGUUAAAAAAAAAAAAAGAUCGAUAUAUGUAUGAUAUAAUUUAUAAUAUUCAAAAAUAAUAUUUAAAAUUAAAAAAAAAUUAUAUAAACAUAUCUAAUUUGGAUGUAUUUAAUGACAUAAAAAAUUAUGAUAAAAGUAUUAGUACUUUUAUUUUAAAAUAUUGACAAUUUUAUUUAUAAAUUUAUAUAUGGUUAUUUUAUAUUUAUUUAUUAUACCAAACAUAUGAUAAUUAAAAUUUAUUCAUUUAUAUAUAUAUACAAAAAAACAUAUAUUAAUUUAUGCAUAUGUAACAUAAUUUAUAAUAUAUAUAUAUAAAAGAGAAUCUUAAUAUAAUAUACAUAAAUAAACAUCGUAUAUGUAAGUCAUGCAUUGCAUUAUAAUAUUAACAAACUUAGGUCGGUGGCGUGCUGCGCUCACGCAAUGCCUGAGGUCAUGGGUUCUCAAACCCAUCCUUCCACUAACGAUUCUCUUUUUUAAUGUUAAGGGGUGGAAUCCCACAUCGACCAGCCAUAGCACUCAAAGUUUAAAUCUUUUUUUAACGGUAAGAGGUGGUAUCCCACAUCGGCCGGCCACAGCACUUAAAAAACCUGCUCAUAGACCCUUCUACCGACGUAGACGCAAUAUUUUCCAAAAAGGCUGAUGUCUCUCCGAGCCGAGAUAUCCACCUGCUGUAUCGUGUCGGAUGUUACGGACAGAAGAAAUAGUUCCAGCUACUUUCAUCUUGAUCAUAUCUUCAUAAUUGAUUAUUCAUUUUGAUGUUUUACUUCUAAUAUACCUGACAUUUUAGUUUGGUGUUUCGCUUAGGCUUUGAUUACGGAACUAUUUCUUAUAAUUAUUGGUAGGAAAUUUCCUAUGGUCUUCCAAGUAGGCUAUUUACAAAAGAUUGAAAAAUUGAAAAACCUCAAUGUCCUUUCACAUUUGAAGAUAGUGAAAUUCAUAUAAAAACAAUCAAUACUACAAAAAUUUGUAUGAAGAUAAUGCUAUUUAAAGAAGGUUAAUAGACCUUGAUGUCCUUUUAUAUUGAAAGAUAAUGAAAUUCUAUAUAAAAUAUUAAUAAUAAUAACCAACGCUACAAAAGUUUGUGUGAAGGCAGAGACCAUUUACAAAAGGUCAAUAGACCUCAAUGUGCUUUCACAUUGAAAGAUAAUGAAAUUCACAUAAAAAUAAUAAUAAUAGUAACUAAUGCUAUAAAAAUUUGUAUGAAGACAAACUAUUUACAAAAGCUCAAUAGACCUUAAUGUUCUUUUAUAUUGAGAGAUAGUGAAAUUUAGAUAAAAAUAUAUAUAGCCAAUGCUACAAAAGAUUGUAUAAAGGCAAACUAUUUAUAAAAGGUUAAUAGACUUUAAUGUCCUUUUAUAUUGAGAGAUAGUGAAAUUUAUGUAAAAAUAUAGUCAAUGCUACAAAAGUUUGUAUAAAGGCAAACUAUUUAUAAAAGGUUAAUGGACUUUAAUGUCCUUUUAUAUUGAAAGAUAGUGAAUUCAUAUAUACAUAUAUAUAAUAAUAAUAAUAACCAACACUACAAAAGUUUGUAUGACAGCAAACCAUUUACAAAACCUUAAUAGACCUCAAUGUCCUUUCACAUUGAAAGAUUGUGAAAUUCACAUUAAAAAAAAAAAAAAAAACCAAGCAUAUAUAUAUAUAUGGUAAUGUGAUAUUUCAUCUUAAUUCCUCUUUUAUUUUCAUCUCUUGGUAUUGAAUAAUAUAUUCUUCAUUUCUACAACUCUUUCUUUUUUCUUAACUUUUUUUUUUUUUUUGUACUCAGUAACAAUGGGUUCAUUUGACAUUCAUUCAAGAUCCUCCUUGUUUUGUUCUCAAAUGAUUCAAAAAAAAUGAUACCAUAUAAGGAAUUUCUUAAAUAGAUGCUUGUAAAAAUUAUAUAAAAUUUAUUAAAAAAAAAUUAAAAAUCAAAGAAAUAUCACUCCUUUUCUUUAAUUUUUAUCCUUUAAUCAUUGGUGCAAAAUGAUAAAAGUGCAAUUAUGCUUUAUUUGGUACUAAUAAGAAUUUCAAAAUCUCUUCACCUCAAGAUAUUGAAGUUUAGGUAAGAAAAUAGAUGGAUAAAAGUAUGACAUAAAACUUUUUUUCCCCAUUUGGAAGGUGUUUGUAGUUAAAGUAAAUAUAUAUAUAUAUAUAUAUAUAUAUAUAUAUAUAUAUAUAUAUAUAUAUAUAUAUAUAUAUAUAUCAAGUGGCAUAACAAAAAACAUAGGAUUUCCAAAAAGAACUUAAAAUGCAUUCAUCAUGCAUGUAGCUUGUCCACCGUAUUUCUUCAAAUAAUAUUAUUAUGGUUUGUUUGCAGUAUAUUUAUUAACAUAAAAUUUUAAUCAGAGAAAUGCCAAAAAAAAAAAAAAACUCAUUUUGAUCAUAUCUUCAUAAUUGAUUAUUCAUUUUGAUGUUUUACUUCUAAUAUACCUGACAUUUUAGUUUGGUGUUUCGCUUAGGCUUUGAUUAUGGAACUAUUUCUUAUAAUUAUUGGUAGGAAAUUUCCAAUGGUCUUCCAAAUAGGCUAUUUACAAAAGAUUGAAAAACCUCAAUGUCCUUUCACAUUUGAAGAGAGUGAAAUUCAUAUAAAAACAAUCAAUACUACAAAAAUUUGUAUGAAGAUAAUGUUAUUUACAAAAGGUUAAUAGACCUUGAUGUCCUUUUAUAUUGAAAGAUAGUGAAAUUCUAUAUAAAAUAUUAAUAAUAAUAACCAACGCUACAAAAAUUUGUAUGAAGGCAGAGACCAUUUACAAAAGGUCAAUAGACCUCAAUGUGCUUUCACAUUAAAAGAUAAUGAAAUACACAAAAAUAAUAAUAAUAAUAAAUAAUGCUAUAAAAAUUUGUAUGAAGACAAACUAUUUACAAAAGGUCAAUAGACCUCAAUGUCCUUUUAUAUUGAGAGAUAGUGAAAUUUAUAUAAAAAAAAACAACCAAUGCUACAAAAGUUUGUAUGAAGGCAAACUAUUUAUAAAAGGUUAAUAGACCUUAAUGUCCUUUUAUAUUAAAAGAUAGUGAAAUUCAUAUAUAUAUAAAACUAAUAAUAAUAACCAAUGCUACAAAAGUUUGUAUGAAGGAAAACCAUUUACAAAAGGUUAAUAGACCUCAAUGUCCUUUCACAUUGAAAGAUAGUGAAAUUCACAUCAAAAAAAGAAAAAGAAAAAACCAAGCAUAUAUAUAUAUAGUAAUGUGAUAUUUUAUCUUAAUUCCUCUUUUAUUUUCAUCUUUUGGUAUUGAAUAAUAUAUUCUUCAUUUCUACAACCCUUUCUUUUUUCUUAACUAUUAUUAUUAUUAUUAUUUUUUGUACUUAGUAACAAUGGGUUCAUUUGACAUUCAUUCAAGAUCCUCCUUGUUUGUUCUCAAAUGAUUCAAAAGAAUGAUAUCAUAUAAGGAAUUUCUUAAAUAGAUGCUUGUAAAAUUAAAAAAACAAAGAAAUAUCAUCUCCUUUUCUUUAAUUUUUAUCCUUCAAUCAUGGGUAAAAAAUGAUAAAAGUGCAAUUAUGCUUUAUUUGGUACUAAUAAGAAUAUCAAAAUUUCUUCACCUCAAGAUAUUGAAGUCUAGCUAAGAAAAUAGAUGGAUAAAAGUAUGACAUAAAACUUUUUUUUUCCCAUUUGGAAGGUGUUUAUAUAUAUCAAGUGGCAUAACAAAAACAUAGGAUUUCCAAAAAGAACUUAAAAUGCAUUCAUCAUGCAUGUAGAUUGUCUACUGUAUUUCUUCAAAUAAUAUUAUUAUGAAUUUGUUUGUACUAUAUUUAUUAACAUAAAAUUUUAAUAAGAGAAAUACCAAAAGAACUGAAAAAGAUGAAAGCAAAUGUAGAAAAAAAAUUAAAUUAAUUCAUAAGAUAAAACAUACUAAGCAAACAAUUUCUAGGGGAGAAAAUUUUGAAAUUUUUAGUAAAAUUAGAAGUAUAUAAUAACAACAUAUUAAAGACUAGUUGCAUAUUUAUUCUAUGAAAUCAUUUCAAUUCAUGACAAAAUGAUAGUCAAAUGAAAAGAAGUUUGAAUGAAAUUUUAAGAUUAUUGAUAUGUUAAUACAUUAAACUAAUCAAUAUUUUUCUAUAUCUUAGCAGCCAUCAAUGACCUGAAGUUAGUAGGACUUCCCUCUCUCUAUAAGACUUUUUUUUUUUUUUCUCUUUUUUGAAAGGAUUUCAUUCCAUUUGUCAAGGUAAGGAAUUGUUUUUCCCUAUCUUUGUUUUUCUCCCUUUGAAUGAUUCACUUAUAUGUUAAGGGUUAGUUUCUUUGAAAAUUUUUUCCUAAAGAAAGAUAUUAUUUUAAUUGGUAAAUAUACCUAUCACUUUGUUGAUGUUAUAGAAACUCUCUCCCUUUUCAAGAUUGUUUUGUUUCUACUACUAUUUGAAAAUAAAAAAUAAAAAAAAUAUUUUAAGUGGUAGAAAACCAACUAAUGGUUAGUUAAAAUAAAUAUUAUAAACCUCAAGAAAUGAGAGACAACAUCCAUAAAUCAACAAAGUUAAAAUCUUUAAUGUCUUUUUUAUGCUUGUGAAGUGUGCAUAGCUGUCCUUCAUUCUCAAUGAUUUUUUAUUUCUAGGAUGACUUUAAGGACUCCUUCCUUUGCAUUUGCUUCUCUCAUUUUAUAAGUCAAGGUCUUUGAUGACUAUUAUUUGCAUUUUGUUUGUUUGUUUGUUCGUUUUUGUUUGCUUUUCUCCUUUCAACGGUCAACAACCAAUCUUCUUACUUUUAGUGCCUUUCUCAUUUUAUAAAUCACGAUCUUUGAUGAUUAUCUUUUGCAUUUUGUCUUUUUGCUUUUCUCCUUUCAACAUUAAACAACCAAUCUUCUUGCUUUUAGUGCUUCUCUCAUUUUAUAAGUGAAGGUCUUCGAUAAUUAUCUUUUGUAUUUUGUUUUUUGCUUUUCUCCUUUCAACAUUCAAUAACCAAUCUUCUUGCUUUUAGUGAUUGUCUUGAACUUUGAUAACAAGUGCCUAAGGCCUUCUAAGAAAUUUGCUUGAAGGCACACUACCAUCCAAAGCUCAAUAAACCAAGGAAAAUUGUAUGAAACUAUUUCAUAUCAUUUCUUGAAAUUCAGAUCUUGGUAAGAAAUUGAUUUGAAGGUAGGCUACUACCAAAGUUUAAUAAACCAAGGAAAAUAGAAUUCUUUUCACACUAUUUCUCAUGUUUGGAUAAUAUGAAAAAAAAAUAAAACAUUAUUAUUUUUUUUAAUUUUGUUUUUCUUUUGUUUUUCUCCUUUUUGACACUAAUUAGUAGUCUCACAUACAUGGAAUGCUCCCUACUAGAUCAUAUAUCCACAUCAAAAGUUAGAUUCAUUAAUCAUAGAAAGAAAAUUAGUAGCCUCACAUAACACUUAAAACAUUGUGAAAAGGUGAAUCUCAAUGAUGGACUACACCUAGAGGGGGGAGGAGGGGGGUGAAUAGGUGUUGUAGAACAAUUUAAAAAUUCUCCCAACAAAGAUUACCUAACCUUAGACUAUCUCAAUGUUAAGAAACUUCUCUUCCAACAACUUUUCAACAAAGCAUAACAUCCACAAGCAAGAGUGAAUGCAUCAACACUCUCCCAAUAAUUUAUAAAUGCAAAACACAUGCAAAUGCUUCAACACUCAAAAAUAAAUCAAAAGAACAAUCAUCUCCUCAACUCAUAUCAAUUGACUCCAUGAUAUCAUUAAACAAAAUGAACAUACAAAAUAUUAAAGAUAUUCCAUGGAUCAUCACACUUAUAUCACCUCAUAUUUCUUCCAUUCAACAUGUAUGCCCAAGUAAUCAAUGAUAUCAAAAACAGAAAAUAAAUCAAAGUGUAGAGUGAGAGAAAUAGACAAUGAACACCGGAUUUUUAAUGUGAAAAACCUCUAAAGAGAUAAAAAAAAAACUACAGACCUAUCACCAAUUGAAAAACUCCAUUAUGAAGAAUAAAAACUGAGUGCAAGGUUUUACCUAGCUCAAGCCAACCAAUCCUUCCCAGACUACUUGACUAGUACCUUCACUUUCAGCUUCUCACCUUCUUCUUUCGGAGCACACUUGGAGUCCGCACCAAGCUCAAUCACGACCUCUUCUUGAAUCCACACAAGAAGAAAAUGGGUUUUUGCACAAACCCAAAUAGAAUAAGAGAUUGAGAUAUGAAUGAAGGAAUGAAUCAACCCAUUUAUUGCUCAAGAAAAUCCAUUAAAAACUAGUUUGGAAAACAUUAAGAGAAGUGGAUUUUCUUUGCAAUCAAAAACCCCAAAUUAGGAAAACAAGAUGAGAAAAUGAAGAACACAUGGAGUGGAUGCUCUCUUCACGUUUUCUGCAGUCCCUGCCUAAAAAAAUGAGAGAAGAUUGUUUUUUUAAAAUAUAAAAAGAAGCCCUUAAUCUAAUGGCUAAUAUUUGAUCUAAAAAAAAUUAGUUGGAUCGAUCCACCCUUGCACCUAGAUAGAUCCAGAAACAGGGGAAUAAAAGUCUUGCACCAAAAACCAUUUCUCCCAACUUUCUAACAUAUUUAAAUAUUAAAAACCGAGUUGACUCACAUUCAAUCACCACACACUCAGCUACAUACCUCGGCCUCUUAGCAAAGUCUUAGUCUUCAAAGUCAAGUAGUCCGAAAAGGAAUUGGAAAGCCGAGUUAGGGGACACUUAGGAAUUUUGUCCGGAAUUGCCAACCCUAAACACUCACACAUUCACAAGUCACUAUCUCUAUAAUAAAACAAAUAGAGUAAUUAGAGUAUUAUUUUUUAAAGCUUUAUCACACAGCUUUCUAUGUAACAAGAAAGGAAGUAUUUUGAAAACUUGGUACAAAGUCUCCAUCCUCAUAAUUCGAUUUGGAAGGGUUUAUUGAAUUAAACCCUCCCUAAAGCGUUUCACGUGUGCCCACAAUUUGUGACGAUCAGGAAGAUUUUCAUUGAUCACUGGAACCUACUUAAAAUUCUGAAUCCAUGCAUGCAAUCGAGGGAAUGUGGUGGAAACCAGCAGUUUUGUGCCAACCAAAUGCUAUGUCCACCAGUCCUAUAGCUUCCCCUCCAAAAAACUUCUUAUCCCCAAGGCCUUUCUCUUCUAUGAUUUUCAGUAUUUCCACUGUUUCUUUUAUGGCCUUCUCUUGCUCUUCCCCAGCAGCAGAUUUAAAGAGUUGAAAAAAAGUGGCACUCUAGAAGAAAUUAGCAACAUGUAUAUUUAGAAUUGAAUGCAUGGUUGAAAACAAGAGUACGGUGAUCUCAAAUAUGAAUAAAAAUUAUAGUUAUUAAAUUAAUUAAAAAUAGGGGGAAAAAAAAAAGAUUUAGAAAGUCUACAAGUUCUUUUCAUUUUAAUCAUAGGUAUUAAUGGGAGAUUUCAAUUUGAUUCCUCUUUCCUCUCCAAAUUCCUUAAUUCCAAACCUAGCUAGGGUGUGAUAGCCAAACAGAAUACAGCCAAGCUCCAGCUCUCCCAAACCAAACCAAACUGAUCAAGAACUCAGCUCCCAGUUAGUUACAACAACCCAAGGAAGUUAGAACAACUGUAUAGUAGAGUAGAUUCAACUGGUAUAAAAACCAUGAUGUUGCUAUUAUAUUCAAGAGAUGAAAUGAAAAACACGGUUUUCAGUUCAGUUUCUAUCAUGGUAUCAGAGCAGAACGAGCUCUUGAAAGAAGUCUUCUUGAAAAGAUAAGCUUCAGGCUGCACAAUACGCUCAUCUCUCAAAAAACAAAAAAAAGAUUUAAAAAGUCUACAAAUUCUUUUCAUUUUAAUCAUAUGUAUUAAUGGGAGAUUUCAAUUUUAAAAAGUAUCAUGGCUAAUUUUUGGAUCACUUCAAUAAAUUUUUACAGAUAGCUAAUUAGAAAUUCACUAAUGAAUACUUUCACAAAUGACUGAAACCAAGAAAUGGGCUAUGAAAGCUAGAUGGAGAGCUUUCAUAUAUUUCAGUCUUGCAAAAGAUUCGGAAAUUAAAUCAUAAGAAUUGAUAAUAAAAACAAGAUUAGUGAGUUAAACCUACAUUUGAUUCUCCAAAAUUGAUCCAAAACCGAGCCAUGGCUCUCUCAUAAGCAUCUGUCGGCAGCAGUACAUUCUCUGGCCAUGUUUCUUCGAAUUAUUCGAGGAUUACAAGGGACUCGGCUACUGCUUUGUCACCAUGAAGAAGCACCGGAAUCUUCUUGUGAACUGGAUUGUGGUAUAACUGCAACUGGCUCUUGUUACCAAGGUCUUCCUCUAUAUACUCAUAGUUUAUGCCCUUGAGUUUUAGAGUCCAAAUCACUCAGUAACCAAAAGGGCUUGCCCAAAACUCUAAUAGCUUCCCUCAUGCCAUUGUUUUAUAGUAUGCCAGCUCAAUUUGCAGGGCUAUUAGUUUCAAAUCUUUGAACUUGGAGGAAGAUAGGACCCUUCUCUUCAACUAAGGAUUUUCAGCCUGUGUAAGGAGGAUUAUUUUUCAUGGCAUGCCUAGUUUUAUGGACUUCUUUUUGAAAGGGAGAUAUGAGAAUUUUUUUGAAGAUGACAUCAAUUUUUUUAAAAGGAGAAAGGAAAACAUUUAAAAGGAAUAAAGAUAUGAAAUUUUUUGAAGAUGACACCAAUUCUUUUUUUAAGGAGAGGAGAUUUUUUUUUUUUUUUUUUUUUAAAGGAAUAGGAGAUAUGAAUUUUUAUUUUGGAAGAUGGCGUCAUUUUUUUUUAAGGAGAAUGAGAAUUUUUUGAAAUAGAAUAUGAGUUUUUUGGAAGAGGAUAUCAUAAUUCUUUUUUAGAGGAUAUUUAUUGUAUAUUGUUUCACGUUAAUAAAGUUUUGAUUUUUAUUGAGUGCUUACAAAAUUGUUAGGACUUAUUUUUCUGGUUAUUAUGUAGUAUCUCUGAUUUUGUAUAUUGUUUCAUGUUAUUUAAGCUUUGAGUUCUAUUGAAUGCUUGUACUAUUUAUCUAAUUUUAUUAAAAAUAAAAUUUUGAAAAAUUUUGGUUUAAGUUUUAAAUUUUUGGAUAUUAUUCAUGAAAUUAGAAUUUUAUUAAAAAUCAAAAUUUGAAAAGUUUUGUUUGAGUUUUAAUUUUCUGGAUAUUAUUAUUCAUUUCAUUAGAGUUUUAUUAAAAAUCAAAGUUUGAAAAGUUUUGGUUUAAUUUAAUUUUCUUGAUAUUAUUCAUGUAAUUAAAAUCUUAUUAAAAAUCAAAAUUUGAAAAGUUUAGCUUGAGUUUUAAUUUUUUGGUACUAUUUAUUUCAUUAAAAUUUUAUUAAAAGUCAAAUUUUGAAAAGUUUAGUUUGAAUUUGAAUUUUUUAGAUACUAUUCAUGUAAUAAAAUUUUUAUUAAAAAUCAAAAUUUGAAAAGUUUAGUUUGAGUUUUAAUUGUCUGGUAUUAUUCACUGCAUGGGGAGUCUUCAUGUAGUGGAUAGUAGGUCAAAGACCCAAGCUUUGUCUUGUUGUUAUUUAUAUAAGAUACUGGAGUGUUCUCUCUAAUAGAAUGUUAAAUCAAUUUCAAAAUUGGAUUAUAAGGGAGCCAAUACUCCUAUGAGCCUUAGUGUUCCUACUCUGAGCUCAUAUACCAUGAUGAUACGGUUUGAAGGGAGGGUUGGUUUGACUCUAGGUUUAUUCUUGUGCAUAAGAGUGUUUUGGUAAUUAUACUAGGUUGCAUAGGGGAUAGUGAACAAGGUCUUUGGUUUGAGCUAAUUGAUUAAUUAGAUGACCCUAAGUGAUUAAUUAAUCAAUUAGAACUCGUUUUGGGCUAGAUUAAGUGACCUAGGCCUUGAUGGGCUUAAGUCACUUAAGCCUAAUGGACAAUCCUAUAAAUACCCCUUUAUGGGUUAGGGUUUCAUAAUGACUUGUGGUGAGAGUUGUCUUCCAACCCUAGAGAGAAAGUUAUAGCCUCCUCUUUUUCAAAACCCACACUUUUGAGUAUUAAGAUUGUGGUUUAAGUCAUCGAGUAGAAGAUCUUGGGUGUACAAGACCUCCUUGGAUGAAGGCUUACAACACUUGGACGUGCAUAGGUCGCGUGCAUGGGAUGCACAUAGGCGUGUGCAUGAGAAGUGCAUGAGAAGUGCAUGAGACAUGCACAGGCCUUGUGCAUAGGAAUCGCAUGGGAUGCGCACGUGGGCAACAACAUGAGGAACAUCCAUACAUGUUCUUCACAGUAAGGAAUUUAUUUGGGAACAUCCAGAUCCGAGGAUGAACACUUUUUAUCUAUAUCUUUAUUCUAAUAUGGUUUUUAUAGCCAUAUGUUUUCACUAUAAUAGAUUUAGAGAAGCUUAGAAUAGUUUACAUUCACCCUAUGAUAUCUAGGGCAUGAGAACAGAGUAAUCUAGGGUUCCCAACACUAGUAACUCUAUUUUAAGAGUGUUGAUUUAUCACAUGGCCCAUAAAAGUGAAUACAUGGACAUUUAUUUUUAAUAUGAAUGAAUGGAUGCAUGUUGAUUUUUUUAUUCUUUUUUCUCUUUCGAUUAGGUUGUAAACUUCAUAAGGAGUAUAGAAUUUUAAAUUUCUCCGUAAAAUAUUUUUCUUUUAAUGGAUGAGUUGUAAGCUCCAUUUUGAGAGCAUAAGGGUUUGUAUUCUUUGUAAAAGAAUUUAACUUUGGUCUAUCUAUGGUGACCUAAAAAAGGGAAUUAGAGCCCCUGAUUCAUUCAGGGGCAUUCAGAUAGAAAAAGUGAGUUUUUUUGAGAAAAAAAAUUGAAAAAAAAAAUGGAGAAUCAAGCUCUCAACAUAGUAGUCCAAGUGGUAACGCUCAAAUGUUACAAAUCACAACUUAAGCGUUUGAGUGCUCCUUUAGGUGUUUUGAGUACUCUUAUUAUGAUAGCUAUAAUUUCUCCAACAUGAGUUUUUUUUUCUUUUUUUUUUAAGGUUUUUCUAUAAUUUUAGAUUUUUUUUUUCCCAAUGUUUUUAGAAUUGGACUGGUCAUUGAAUAAAAAAGAUGACCAGUGGUCGAAGAACUAUCGAACCGAUGACGUCAUAAAUAUAUAAUUUAUAUAUUAAUAAAUAAUAAAUAAAAAAAUAAUAUAUAUAUAUAUAUAUAUAUAUAUAUAUAUAUAUAUAUAUAUAUAUAUAUAUAUAUAAAUUAAUAAUCAAUAAUAUUAAUUAUAUCUUUGAUAAAAGAUAAAAACAAUUAAUAUUUUGAAUUUUAUUAAAUGAAAUAUGUAUAACAUUUAAAUGUGAAAAUAUUCAAAAUGAAAGGAAAUCUGAUUAUCGGAUUUUAACUAAUUUUAUAAUUUUAGAAAAUAUUAUAUUAUUUUUAUUUAAUAUUAUAAAUCAUUUUAGAAACAAAUAUAUUUUUUCAUUCGCCAUUUUAAUCAACAAGAUGCAUGCAGCCAAGUGGUGGUGUACAUCUUUUGUUCAGCAUACAUCGAAUGUGGAUAAGUAAAAAAAGGCCCUUAUAUACCCAAAACUUACCCAAGUCACAUAUGCAGCACAGGAAACCAAGGUGUAGCCUAUCCAACAGUGUUUGAAUUGGGCUUUUAUUUGGGCCUCAUGGAAUUAAAAAAGAGGGGAAGUUUGGGUUUUAGAUUGGGUCCAUUUUAAUGAAAGAACAGUUGGGAUUGAACCGUUCGGUUCAUGUGAAACCGCCCAGUCCAGGUGGUUCAUCGGUUCAACCACCGAUUCGGACAGCUUGUUACCGAUUCAAUUAAAGGGAAGCAUUUGUACCACACCAGUUCGGGAAAUAACUAUAUGUUAAAUCCCCAAUGCAAGGAAAAGAUCCAAGUGACCAGAAUCUCCCUUUUUGUAUAAGGAACUUGAGCCUAGUUGUCUCAGCUGAUUCAUGUCCUCUCAAUUGUCCCUAACAGUGGUGCCAUUUGAUACGUGUCCAGCUGGUGUCCCUUGAUUGUGGUCCUCAUGGAGUAAUCAACAAAAUUUAUAACCUAUUACACCAUGUACUAGGAUAGCCUUAGCUAGCAUAGCAUAGUGGCUCUAGGGUCAUUCACUGGGAUGGGUUUUCACUUCACAAUUGAUAUUAAUUCCAAGUUGAAUUGGUGCGUUUUCAUUUCAAGGUUAGCUUUAAAAGAAAACAUAAUCUUUGGUGGAAAAAGGCCUAACAGUUUAACAAGGUGGACUGGACUAGAAAGUCCACCGGUCCAACCGAUUGGAGUGCCAAAUCGGUUCAGUUUUUAAAACAAGGUUUUUUUAUUUCUCUAACUUAAUUUUGGUUGCAUGGGUAUUUUGGUAAAUUUUUGAAUAAAUUGGAUUCUAAAUAUUUUUGCUACCAAAAUUUGUGACAAGAUGCCUAAGGGGGGAGGAAUUAUUUUAAUUUUCCUUUUUUUAUUCUUAAGCUUACAUAUAUAUAUGGCAUGUUGUGCAUGAAAAUUUGAUUUUUAGUAAUUUUGAUAGAAAUAAAUUUCUUUGAAAAUUAGAUUUCAAAAGGAUAUUUUUAUUAAAUUGGAAAAGUAGUGACUAAAGAAAGAACUUUUUAUCAAAAUAAAAUUUAAAUAAAGAGAGAAAAUUUUCAUUUUAUAAAAUUAUUUUGAAGGAUUUUAAAAUCCUUUUAUUUAAAAUUAUUUUAUAAGAUUCCUGAAAAAUAAAAGCUUUCUUUCUGGAUAAGAUACUCGCUAUAUUUUAAUUUUCCAUUUUUAGAAAUUUUCUUAUUUUGAGAAUUUUCAAUUAGAACAAUAAAUAAUUUUGGAAAAUUUCAAGAUAGGCAAUAAUAAGAUAUUACUAAAAAGUUUUGGAAACUUAGUAAUUUAAUGAGCAAUAAAUUUCUAGAAAAAUAUUAAUUUCAAGAUAAGAUAUUUAUUAAAUUGGAGUGGUGUAUGAGAAAGGAUAAUUUUAUAUAAAUUGAUUUUAAAAAUUGAGAGCAAUUUUUUUAUCAAAAUAAUUUAGGAUAAAAUGCUGUUACAAAAACUUUAUAAUUUUCAAAGUUACAUUCUCUUAUCUCCCUUGUGUUUCUAAUUACGAAAUUAAUAAUUUUAAAAUAUUUUAUAGAAGAUAAUUAUUUAUGAAGGGAAUUACCAAGAAAUUAAAAAGCUCUAAUUAACUCAAAAGAUAAAGUAGGCAAGGCCUUAGCAAAGCCCACAACCUUCAUUAUCAAGUCCACCUUGAUUUUGUGUCAUUGUCAUCCCAACAGUGAGUUGGCUAAGCAAUCAAAGGAUAUGAACUUUCCAAUUGGCGAGACUAGAUAUGUUAGUAGAACAACCGCCUCAACAAUGAAUUUUUUUUUUUACCAAUAUUAAUAUGAAAGAUAAUAAUCACACACUUAACUUAGAAGUAAAAUGGUUGAAUCAACCAAUGUGGUCCCACUUACAUAAUUAAAGGUUAAAUAAAAGGAUAUGUUGACCUUGCCUUAGAAUUUUAAGAUAGGAAGAUCAAUAUGAAAGGGUCUCUACCUAGUAAUAAGAUCAUGUCCAACCUAAGGUGGCAUUGAUACUUAUGAUUCUAUGAUAUCUAGAAAAAGCUAUGUAAUCAUAAGAGCUCUAUAUUUUGCUAAAUUUAUUAUCUUGCUUUAGGGUUAAUGCUUAGUAUUUAAUGCAUGUUGUUUAUUUUUGUUACAUUAAUCAUGUCCUUUAAUCCAAUUACUCCCAUUCUCACAACAAACAAAUUACUUAAACAUAAUUAUGUGAAUUAAAAGAGAUACUUUGAUAUAGUGCUUACAUCAAAGGAGCUUAAAUGGGUGUUUUAGGAAUUUACUUUUAUUGGAGUUGGGUUUAGGUGCCCAGAUGGGCUGACCCAACCCUGUCUAAUAAAUGAGAAAAUAUGGGAGGAGUUUCUAGGAGUUUUAAAACUACCCAAAAAAUGCCAUUAUUAAAAGAUUUAAAAAAAUGUUUUUUUCUCUUUUCUCUCUUUGUGAAAACUCUCUCGCUGAGAAUUCUCUCUCUCCAUGGAAAACCAAAGAGAGAAAGAGUAUGUUUUCUUUCUUCCUGAAAAUAAAGGCGAAGAAAUACGUUUUCUUUUUUCCCUAGAAAACAUAAGAAAGAAUAAUUUUUCUUCUAAAGAAACAAAAAGUUCUUUCUCUUAAAGUUAUUCUUGUUUUCUCCGUGAAAACGAAGGUUAAGGCUCUCGUGUUGUGAUAAAAGAAUGGUUAUCAUAUUUGUAGUUCCAUUCACGACUUGAGGCGAGAAAAUUAGUUAGUGAAACAACCAAUCUGGGUCUUGGGUAUUUCAGAAGGUAACUCAGAAUUUUCUACCUUUUAUUUAUUUUAUUUAUUUUUUUGUUUUGUUUUAGAGAAAGAAGAAUAUUUUUUUUUAAACAAAUGAACAAGGAAUAAACUUUUUUUUCUAGUUGUGGUUUUAGAAAAACUAAAAAAAUAAAUAAACAACAAAAUGGAUAAAUAUGAUUUUGGAUAUUGUUCCAAAUUAAUAAUAAUAAUAAUAAAAGCAAUGUUCCGGAAACAAAAAAUAAAUAAAUAAGGAAAAAAUAAGAACCACUUGGAGAAAAAAUAGGUGCAAAGUGCAUCCACUACAGCAACCUUGGACAAAUUGAAAUGGACAAUUAAAAGCCAAAAAAAAAAAAGACGAGCCACAAUUUUUUGGUUAUGGUUCCAGAAAAGCCUUUCUCCAAGACAAACAAAGGGGAACAUUUUUCUGGAAUUUUUUUUUUUUGAAAAAGUAAUAAUAAUGCUAAACAAGUUAAAUAUGUUUUAGUUUACUAAUUAACAUCAAAGUUGAAUUACUCUUGUUGGUUAGAACUCCUCUCAUGCUCACUUCAUACCCAACUUCGAGCUUUGAAGUCCUCAUCAUUCCUAUUUCAAGUUUUUUGAGUUGAAGUCAAAUUAUGUUGAUUUUUAGACUAUAAAAAAAUAAAAUAAAAAAUGAGGGUCUUAAAUAUGUUACCCAUUAGAAUAAAUAAAUAAAAAUGGAUGAGGGAUUGCGUAUGAAAAGGCUUGAUCCCUGACCAUAAGAGUAAGAGUCUUGCACUCUACCAACUAGGCUAGAUGUUUUUUGUUUUCAUAGAAAGACUAUGAUUAUAGAAAAUAACAUCUAGAGUUAUAAAAGACAUUGUGAAUAAUCCUAAUAUUGUUGUUCCUUUUAGCUUCAAGAGAAAAUAUUAGUUCUUUUUCUACAUGUUACUUUUUUAUGCUUUAUACAUGAAAUGUAUAUAUCUUAUAUGCAAGAUAUGAUAUGAAUAUUUAUUGUUUGAUAAAUGAGUAUGUCUUUUAUGUACAUGCAUGUCUUCAAUUAUUUUGUAUAUAUUAUUGAUACAUGCUAGUUGUAUAAUAUUUUUUAUGGAGUGAGAGGUUUUAGGCUAAAAAGAAAUUUAAGUAAUUUCUUGCCUAAAAUUAGAAAUACUUGAAUAGAUUAUUUCUAAUUUGUAUAUAGGAUUUUAUUGGGAACAUAGUGAACUUUCGUUUCUAUUGCAAUUUAAGGUUAUUACACAUUAAAAGAUGAUUAGAGCAGGUAAAAACAUCAAUAUCCAUAAAACUACCACUUAAUAAGAUUGUGCAAUAUCUCUAAGUAGUUCAAUAUGUCAACUACAACUAGGAACAUCAUAGUAGAAUUGAACAAGGAUGAGAAACUAAAUUACAAUAACUACAAGGUUUGGUAUUGCAAAGUUCAAUAUAUCCUUGUUAAGCAAGAGACUCUUGAUACACUAAAUCAUAUCAUGUAAGAACCUAAAUAAGGAAACUUUGCUCAACAUAGAAGAGAUCAAGAGGCUUAAAUGGCCUAGAAGAAAAAGAAUUUUUUAGCUCGCAUCACAUUAUUACACUAUAUGCAAGAUGAUCUCUUGAUUAAGUAUAAGGUUUACUAAACUGCUCAUGAAAUGUGGCAAGCUCUAAAGGAAAAGCAUGGUGGACUUUCAAUUAUUAAGCUGUGAGAACUUGUAAUGAAAUUUGAAAAUUACAAGAUGCGAUUGAACCAUACAAUGAAACAACAUCUCAGGGCGAUGAAGAGAAUGAUAAGAGAGCUUAAGGCAUCUGGGCAUGUCUUCACUGAUAAGCAACAAGUUGAGGUGGUCAUCAAAUCUCCACCAAAGAGUUGGGAACAUAUGGUGGUGAAUAUGACACAUAAUGAGAGUGUCAAGACUUUUGAUGAUAUAGUUCGUCAUUUCGAAUUGGAAACCAAGCAACUUAUGGUUGCUAGGCCUAAUAAACAAGCUCAUGUAACUGAAUCCAAUUCUCACAAACUUCCGGCUCUAAGUGUAAUAGAAAAUUCUUUAAGAAGAAUAAGAUAUCUAAUGAGGCUUCAAAGAAAGGAAAGAUUGAGACACACAAGAAGUUUAAGCGUACCAAGAAGGAUAAAAGCAAGUUGAAAUGUUAUAACUAUGGUAACAAAGGUCACUUUACUCGUGAAUGUACUAAGUCAAAGUAGACUCAGUCCCUAUUAAUCGAACAACUAGAGGCCAAAGAGCAUAUGUAGAGUUUAGGCCAAUUAGUUCUGAUACUAGAUGAAUUUAUGUAGGGAACAACUCCAAAGUUGAGGUCAAGAGUAUUGGAACUUGAAAAUUGGAGUUGCGUAAAGAAUGUGUCCUAUUCCUACAUGAUGUUAUUUAUAUUCUGGAUAUUCGAUGAAAUUUGGUCUCUGUGUUAGUCCUUUUUGGUUUAGGUUUCAAUUUGAGUUUUCAUAAUUCAAUAAUGGAGUUGUAUUUGGGAACAACAUAAUAUGGUUUUGGAUUUAUUUUGAAUGGUUUUAUAGUUCUUGACAUUGAUAAAUGUGUGUUGUCUAAUACUAAUGAUAGUUAUUAUUCAUUGAUGACUACUUCUAAAAAUGCAUGUGAUAAUGUGAUCAUACGGCAUGCUAGACUUAGGCAUAUUGGACAAGAAAAAAAUAAAUAGACUAGCUAGAGAAAAUCAUUUUGGUCAAUUCACUAAAGAUUGAUACACCAACUUGUGAAUAUUGUCUAACUGAUAAAACUACAAGAAAACCAUUUGGAAAAGGAACUAAAACUAAAACACCAUUGCAAUUAAUCCAUUUUUUACAUUGGUGAUCCUAUGAGUGUUAGAGCAAGGCAUGGAGCCUUGUACUUCAUCACAUUUAUAGAUGACUUUACUCAUUAUGGUCAUGUUUAUUUGAUUUCUCAUAAGUUAGAAACAUUAGAUUGUUUCAGCUGCUACAUUAAUUUAGUUGAGAAUCAGUUGGACAAAAGGAAUAAAACAUAAAGAACAAAUAUGGGAAAAGAAUAUCUAUUAGAACAAUUUAAAGAUUUAGACUCCACAACAAAAUGUUGUUGCUAAGAGGAAGAAAUAGAAUGUUGUUACACAUGGUUAUGUCAAUGGUGGCUCAAGCAAAUCUUCUUAUUUCAUAUUGAGGAGACACAUUGUUGACUACUUCUCAUGUACUUAACCAAGUACCCUCAAAGUUUGUUUCACCUACUCUAUAUGAGUUUUCGAAUAACCGAAAGCCUGAUCCUAGCAAUUUGCGACCUUGGGGGUCGAUGGCUUAUGUUCACAAUCCUUCUCAUAAAUAUGGAAAAUUAGGUCAUAGAGGGACGAAAUGUGUAUUUAUAAGAUACAGUGAACACUCCAAAGGGUAUGUGUUCAUAGGUGAGUAUGAAGAUGGAAAUUAGAAUCACGAGAUGUCAAGUUCUUAAAGGAUGAUUUCCCACGUACGGGUGAGAUUGAUAGGGAUUUACAUCUUUAUGAAAUGAUGGAUCUCGAUAUAAGAUCCGUACCCAAACAAAUUGAUGGUUGAAUCAAGUGGGAGUGAACUAGUACUCGUAGCAAGUAUAGUAAAAGAGUCGAUGUUGAGAAAAAGUUCUCAAUAAAUUAUUCCUCCACAACGAUUUGAGAUUGAAGGGGAAAUUCAUAUUGUCACUCAAUAUGAUGAUGUUGAGCCUAAUUUGGUUCAAGAGACUCUUACUUGUCCAAGUAAGGAUGAAUGGAGAAAAACAAUGGAAGAGGAAUUGGAGUUGAUGCAAAAGAAUCAAGUCUAGGGCUUGGUUGAUUUGCCUUUAGAUUGAAAAGCUAUUGGGAACAAAUGAGUUCUUAAAAUAAAACAAAAGACAGAUGGAUCCAUUGAAAAUUAUAAAGCUCAAUUAAUGACUAAAGGGCAUACCCAACAAGAGGGUAUAUAGACUACGAGGAAACCAUCUCUUUAGUAGUUAGGUUUGCCUCAAUUCACCUCAUUCUAGCUAUAAUAGCUCAUAUGGAUUUAAAGCUACACCAAAUAGAUGCUAAGACAACUUUCCUUAAUGGAGAGUUGAAUGAAGAAAUCUAUAUGGAACAACUAGUGGAUUUCAUUAUCCAAGGCUAAGAGCACAAAGUGUGCAAGUUAAAUUGAUUGAUUUAUGGCCUUAAACAAUCAUCUAGGUAGUGGUACUUAAGAUUUCAUUGUGCAAUAACUUCAUAUGUUUUCACAAUGAUUUAUGAAGACCACUGUGUUUAUAUUAAGCAAAAUAAAGAAAUUUUUUUUAUUAUCUUUAUACAUGAAUGAUAUACUUAUAGCUAGAAAUGAUUUGGAGUUUGUUUAAACCAUUUAAUGAUUUUUGUCAUCUACUUCUGAGAUGAAAGAUAUGGGAGAAGCAUCUUAUAUUCUUAGAGUAAAGAUCCAUAGAGAUCGUUCUCAUAAACUAGUCGUUCUUUCACAAGAAUACUAUAUUAAGAAUAUCCUUGAAUGAUUUAAUGUGCAAGAUUGCAAUUCCAUUGACACUCCUUUUGCAAGAGGUGAAAACCUAAGUAAAUAAAUGGGUCCAAAGACUCCAAAAGAAAAGAAAAAAAAUAACUAAUGUUCCCUACUCUAGUGUUAUUGGGAGUCUAAUGUAUGCUACGAUGUGUACAAGACUACAUAUAUCUAUUAUGUUGUUAGGAUGGUGAGUCGUUACCAAGAAAAUCCUAGAAUGAUGCUUUGGAAAAUAGUAUAGAGAAUUCUUCGGUAUCUAAUAGGCAUGUGAACUAUUCUUUUUGUUAUCUAGGCAAAGAAAUGCGCUUGUGGGUUAUUCACAUAUUGUUUGGGCAGAUGAUCUAGAUGAGCACAAAUCAACAUCUAGAUACACAUUCUUGCUUAAUAAUGGUGUCAAAUUAUGGAAAAGCAAGAAACAAACUUGUAUAGCUUUAUCAACCAUGGAAGCUGAAUUUAUUGUUUGUUCAACUGUAAUAUAAGAAGUCGUAUGAUUGAAAAGUUUUUUUGCAAAGCUUGGGAAUAGUCAAUGAUGUUCUUAAGCCAAUGACAGUCUAAAGUGACGGUCAAUUUGUGACUAUUUAUGUAAAUGAUCUGAAAUAUCAUAGAAAAACUAAACAUCUAGAUACCAAGAAUAAUUUUAAAAGAGAUGUUAUUGCAUGAGGAGGAAAUGAUCCUGAAUAUUUACCUACAUGUAAAAUGGUUGUUGAUCUAUUCAUGAAAUCCAUUCUAAGGAACAUAUUUUCUAUACAUGUAAAGUCAUUAGGACUAUGUAGGUUAUGAUCUAUGUGGAUCAUAUGUCAUGGAUUAUUAUUGAUUGGAUAUAUGAUGCUUUAUAUAUGUUAAAAUGAUAUGAGUAUUUGUUAUUCAUAUAAUUGAAUGUGUAAUUGGUACUUACAUAUAUAUAUGUAUGUCAACAAGUUGAGGUUAACUCUCUCACAUGAGCAAUUGCCCCAAUCAAUAUGUUUAUGAGUUGGGAUGAGACAAUAUAUUAAUGAUGACGAAUGAGUGAAUAGUAUACAAAAGAUUAUGAGUGUUGUCUUGAUUAAUUAUUAAGAUGAGGUCUAUAAUAAAUGAAAUCUUGACUGAAUGUAAUCGCCCACAAUUAUAUUUACCUGUUUGAACCGGACUUGAGUUUUAUCAUAAAAGGUUUAAAGAGAACAAUAGACGCAAAACGCAAACAAUCUACUGGUGUGAAGCUCUUAAUUAAGGUCCAUAUGGUGGUAGUUUGACAUACACUCUCUAAGUGGAGAGAAACCACCAUAACAUGUAUUUCAUACUACAUGUAUUUGAAUGUGACUAAUAAGGGAAGUGAGUGAUUAAUCUUUGCAUCUUCACUGUGUGAGAUCCUUAGGGCUUAUUACAAUUAUAAUAGCCCAUUAUUGUACUCUUUGUACUUUUGACUAUGUUUUGAGGUGACAAAUUAAUGUUGCUACUUUGGUAUGUUUUCGAUGGAAAUGAAAUAAUUUAUCCUUAUGGGACAUAUUGGGCAAACAAUUAAUUUGGAUCUAAAAGACAUGAGCUCAAAAGGAAGCCUUUUUUCUAGUUACAUUGAAAGAUGGUACCCUUCUUUUAAAGAAGAAAUGUCUUUUAUACUCAAAGAUUGUCUUUAUAUUCCUAACUAUAGAAAUAAUUUGAUUUCACUUUCUAGUUUAAAUAAAUGUGACUUUUUGGUUUCUUUUAAUAAAGACAUUAUUAGAAAGAAUGUUGUAUUGUGAAUAAUGGCACUGGCGUGAGAAGAAAUCGUGCAUCAUCAACUUUAGCACCAUAUUACAAUUGAGAUCAUGCACAACAAAAGUUCACUACAACUUAAAAAAAUAUCCUAUAAUUAAAGUUGUUUUUUUUUUUAUUGAUCAUAAGAAUGAACAUGAGUACAUUUUUAAUAUGGCUAGAUUUUAACAUGCAAGAAAAUCUAGAUGUGGAUGUAUCCAUGAUUUUACUUGGUUGGCUAAUAAAACUUCAAGGUCCCUCGCAAAUUAAAAGAAUUUAAUUUUUAUUUAUGCCUUAUUUUUUGCGAAUGCAUUCCUAAUUGAUUAGAUAAGGGUUUAAAUUUCAUUAUCUUUAUUUGAAUAUUAUGAACACACUAGUUAAUUUAUUGGUCAUUUCUAGAAUAGCAUAAUUUACCUAAUGAGCAUAGAAAAGAUGUUAUAAUAUACGCAUUAUGUGAACAUCAAUAGUCAUAUUUUGGUUGUUCACUUAUGAUCCCUGUUUUUCUCUACUUGUAAGUUGAGACUUAUAUAUAAGAAUAGCUCAUCCAAUGUGUUUCUAAAUACUCACACUCAAAUGAGGACUUAUUUUUAUUGUCUUUAGGAAUUUCUACCUAAAAGUGGUCAUAAAAUGCAAGGUUUCAAUUUUAUAGAUAUUUUCAUAAUAAUCAUAUUAUAAACAAUCAAUAAAAGUUAGUUUCAUGUAUGAAAUCAUAUAUUAACAAAAUAUAAAAAAUACUUAAAUCAUCUUUCCAAAAUAUUCAAAUAAUAAGGUGACUAAAGAAUUUAAAUAUACUUAUAAUUCACAUAAACAUGUAUACAUCCAUUACUUGUGAAUUAAAGAAUGAAUUCCAUAAAGGUUUUAAUCAAGCAAAAUCAGUACCAUAAUUUUGUCUUUAACUCGUUGUAAUAGACAGGGACAUAUACCUCUCUCAAAACAUUUGAAAUGAAAAUUUUGAAAUCACGAUGUUCUUCUUCUUUUGAAUUUGAUUGCUUGUUCUUAAUUUGACAUUCUCUUUCCCUUUGAGAUUAAAAACAAACAAACAAACAAACAAACAAACAAACGGAGUAACAAAUUAAAAAGAGUGUCAAUUCAACUCAAUUAGAGUCUAUUCAAAAUUGGAAAUUUCCUUGCAGCAACUAACUAGCUUGAAUGAAUAAGGAUGUAUGGGUUGAUCAAUUGAGCUUUGGGCCUUUGAAUAAUGAUAUCAAAUUUUCACUUUCAAUUGCUUGAGACAUUCCACUUGGAUAUCAAUCAAACCCAAGGUUAAGACAUUAAAUUAUGUAAUUUUCUAUAAUAAGAUAGUUUUAGAAAAUGUUUAAUGCUUCAAAAGUAAUAACUUAUGAAAUAAAGAAUCAAUCACAACAUAAGCUUUAGUUAACAAAUACAAUGCCAUGAUUUUAUAUUUUCGCUCAUUUGAAAUACGUAGGAACCCAGGGUUAUCAAUCAAACCCAGGUUUAAGACAUUAAAUUAUGUAAUUUUCUAUAAUAAGCUAGUUUCACAAAAUGUUUAAUGCUUCAAAAGUAAUAACUUAUGGAAUAAAGAAUCAAUCCCAACAUAAGCUUUAGUUAACAAAUGCAAUGCCAUAAUUUUAUAUUUUUGCUCAUUUGAAAUACAUAGGAACAAAUACCAACAUGCAUCUUAAAGUAAUCCAAAACAAAAUACUUGAAAUUGAAAUAUUCUUUCCCAUUUUAAAGGAGAUUCUAUCUCUUUACACCAAGAAUUAUGAAUAGAGCAAAAGUGUGAGUUUAAAUUGGCAUCACUUUAAUCAAAAUCUCAAAUUGGGUUGAAGUAUUUGACUUGCCUUGAUUAAUAAGGGCAUCCGCAUCCAUGGCUUAACCAAUAGGGGCUGGGCAUUUGACAUUAUGUAUUUAGCAGCUUGGAAUGUCCCAUCAAAGCUUGAUGUGUACUAACUUUUCCAACAAAAUGUUUAAUCUGCAAAAAAAUUAACAAUGCAAUCAAGCUUGUCCUACAAAUGCCUUAAAACAAGUUCCAAUAAAAAUGGGUUUUGAAAAAAAAAAAUUAAAAAUUAAAAUUCAGCCCCUUGGAAUCAGCAAGGCAUAUAUAAUAGAAACUAAGAAAAGGAGGGUGGCUUAAUUACCAAAAAGUUGAGAUAAAUGUUUGGUCAACAUCAACAAUUCUCUUACUUGAAAUUAGUGUCUUGUGCAGCAUAUCCAAUGAACAAAUUUGCAAAGAAGCUCCAGCCAUCUAUGCAUAUGGUCCAUUUCAUGGUCUUGGGCAUCAACACCAUUAUCAUCAAUAUUCAGGGUGGUGCCAUCACAGCUUCUCUCCAUUCAUUUGAGUGAUAUCCCUCGGGAAUAUUUGACUUAGGAUAAUAUAUCAAGCACCCUUGACUUGAUGCAUCUUCAUCAUAGCAGAAUUCACAAAAUUGAUGAGACUGACAGGAAAAAUAGGCACUGUCAUCAUCGAAAUUCAAUUUACAGUUGAAAUCCCUAUGUGGUGUGGUCUCAAUCUCAAGUGGAACAUAAGGAGAGCACAGAACAAAGCCCAAGAAGUCAUCAUUUUCAUACCAACUCCAGGGAAGUUUCAUUGUUGUAGGGACCCCUCCCUCUGGGAAACACGUGGCACGCAUCUCACAAUGACACGUGGCACGUGUCAUCAGCUGGACCAUCAUCAUCCGGAUCCCCCUAAGGAUGCGUAUUAUACAGUUCUCCUAUCCGGACCGCCUCAAGGAAAGGCAAAUGACGUUUCAGCUUCUCCUAUCCAAGGAAGAGCAAACGACGCUGACAGAUCAUAGACAUCCGGACAACCUUCAUAACACAUUCGCUCCACAAUACAUCCGGAUAAUCAGCAUGUGACAUCCGGAUAUAAUCGUCCGGCUCAUCAAUUAAAGUAAAGCGAGUCUUACACGCUAUCACAACAAACAGCCAUGGCCCACAUCCUAUCAUCUGCAAAGUGAGAAGACAAGAUGAGGUGACAGCAAGUCACUUCCCACGAUCAAUUUUACGUGAUCACUUCCCACGAUCUCUGACAGCCGCAUCACCUACCAUGGUUUCUGACAGCCGCUCGUAGGGUGAUGAUGCUCAUACUGACGCCUAUUAUCAUCAUAACAACAUAAAAUAUCUCCUCACCAUUAAUGAGGAGGACAGUACCCCUAAAGCUGUAUAUAUAAGCCUUCACAUGAAGAAGAAGGGAAUCCCCCUGGUAACCUCCUAAUACCUGGUAAAGGGCCAACUGAUUUAUAUCUCUCUCUGACCAUGGCUAACAAAACCAUCGGAGGGUGCGUCCGGACACCCUGUCCGGAUGCCUUCUUGCAGGUAUAACGACUGGAUCAAGAACCUUUAUGAGUUGAAAUCACGUGUCCAUCCAUCUGGCAACUACGUGGAUCAUCAAAGACGCGAGGUAUCAACAUUGGCGCCGUCUGUGGGAACUUUUUACUUUGAUUCAGUCACUAAAAAAGAUGGCCACACCUUCCCAAAGCCGUUCAUCUGGUAGGGGAGAGGAUGAUAAUUUUGAAUGGCGCCUAGCCAUCGAAAGGAGACAGUUGGCAAGCGAAAGACAGCUAAAAGCUCUCCUCCAGGAGACAGAAAGAUUGAGAGAAGAAAACGCGGUGUUACGCAUCCAGGCUUCAACAUCAGGGCCUCCUCGACGUCAGCGUUCGAGGAGCCAAGUAGCAAACUCAAGGCCUCAACAAGAACCAGAGUCAAUAUAUCCUGGGACAACAGGAGCUAUCCCAGGAGCAUGCAACGUAAGACCUCAUGAGCCACGCACGCCUAUGCCUCGAGCUCCCCGUGAGGAAAGCUCAGACUCUACUCAUUUUUCAGCGAAGAGACAACGUGAUAAAAAAUCCCAAUUGUCAAAUUCGAUGCGCGCAAGACUAGGCCCACAAGAGCCUGGAAGAUCAAGGCCACCAAUGGCCACAACUUGGGCACCACGCCCUGACCCCAUGGCCACCCCCAUGGUGCAAAACGUUUACCCGCAUCGUGACCCCGUAGUCACCCCCGUAAUGCGGAACGUUCAUUCGCACCCAACAGAACAGCCAACUGGGAGAAACAUCCCAAACGGGCCACCCAUUGGCUCCAUCAGCAAAAGGCUGGAUGACAUGCUCUCCACGCCUUUCUGCUCUCAUAUCAUUAAUUACGAGCCCCCAAGGGGAUUCCUCGUACCAAAAUUUUCCACAUACGAUGGAACCAAUGAUCCCUUCGAUCACAUCAUGCAUUAUCGACAACUCAUGACGCUCGAUAUUAGCAACGAUGCACUACUAUGCAAAGUAUUUCCCGCCAGCCUACAAGGACAGGCCCUUUCAUGGUUUCAUCGCCUACCGCCCAACUUCGUUGGCAAUUUCAGGGACCUGUCCGAAGCUUUCGUGGGACAAUACCUGUGCUCCGCUCGACACAAGCAAAAUAUCAGCACCUUGCAAAACAUAAAAAUGCAAGAUAAUGAAUCCUUGAGGGAAUUUGUGAAGCGGUUUGGCCAAGCCGUACUUCAAGUGGAAGCUUGCAGUAUGGAUGCUGUCCUAUAGAUCUUCAAACGAAGCAUCUGUCCAGGCACUCCAUUUUUCGAAUCACUGGCUAAAAAGCCUCCUACUACGAUGGAUGACUUAUUCAGACGAGCCAACAAAUAUUCAAUGCUCGAAGAUGACGUACGUGCAGCCACCCAACAAGUUUUGGUUGCCGGAAGGCCGUCUAGAAGUAAUUCGGAGAGAAAUACUAAACCUCCGGAUCGGCCAAAAUCGUUUGACCGAAGGCAGGAAGGGCCAAGUCGCCCGAAAAUGCCUCCUCUCACACCUCUUUCUAUAUCAUAUGAGAAGUUUCUCCCGAUGAUCCAGGACUUGUCCAACUUCAAGUGGCCUAGACCCAUUGGAACGGACCCAUCCACAAGGGAUCGUAGUAGGAGAUGUGCCUUCCACAAAGAUCAUGGCCAUACAACAGAGACAUGCCGAUCUUUCCAGUAUCUGGUCGAAAGGCUCAUAAAAGCAGGGCAUUUGAAGCAAUACCUCCGAUUAGAUAAUGGACGAAGGGACACACCCCAACAUCACAACCCCGAGAACCUUAGGGCCCCAGCUACCCCCAAGGCCGUUAUAAACUAUAUUACCGAGGGUCCAUCUGACGAGGAGUACGACUCUAGGCGAAAGAGGCAAAAAUUGUUGCGAGCCGCAUCAAUACGCGAACGCAUCAACUCCAUCCGGCCUGGGCUAACUGGAGGGGGCCCUUGCCCCAUAGAUGGAACAAUCAUUUUUCCACCGGUGGAUCCCACCCGAACACUGCAGCCGCAUCGCGACGCCCUCAUCUUGUCCCUGGAAAUUGGGGACUUCGAUGUGCGGCGUAUCUUGAUUGACCCAAGCAGUUCGGCCGAUCUUGUGCAAGCAUCGGUCGUGGGCCACAUGGGACACACUCUCACAGGCCUCGAAAACCCUGGACGAAUCCUAUCCGGAUUCAACGGGUCUUCAACUACAUCCUUGGGAGACAUUGUACUGCCGGUCCAAGCAGGCCCAGUCACUCUCAAUGUACAGUUUUCAGUAGUACAGCAGCUAUCACCCUUCAAUGUCAUUUUGGGGCGCACAUGGCUCCACUACAUGAAAGCUAUCCCCUCUACAUACCAUCAAAUGGUGAGUUUUCUCACCAACGAUGGCCAAGUCGACCUAUAUGGCAGCCAAUUAGCCGCUCGCCAGUGCUAUCAGAUAGCACGUGAAGCAGGGGCCAACCAGGAGGAUGCAUCUCCCCCUGAACCCAGCAUUGCACAUGACCAAUAGCAAUUAUUGGGUCCGACGGACAAAGAUCCCCCGGCAGCAGAUCCCUUACAAACAAUCCAAAUUUCAGAGGAAAACACUCACCUCACGAACAUCAGUUCCCUCAUGACACGAGAAGAAACGCAGAGCAUGCAAAAUAUUCUCAAACAGAACCAUGACAUCUUCGCAUGGGCACAUUCUGACAUGAAGGGAAUUCAUCCCUCCAUUGCAUCUCACAGGCUUAACGUCUUUUUAACUGCCAGACCCGUCCGGCAGAGGAUUAGGCGAUUUCACCCGGAUAGACAAAGAGUCAUCCGGAAUGAGAAUGACAAAUUACUCGAAGCCGGAUUCAUCAGAGAAGUUUCUUAUCCGGAUUGGUUGGCAAACGUAGUAGUGGUACCCAAAAAAGAAGGAAAAUGGCGAGUUUGUGUAGACUAUACCAAUCUCAACAAUGCGUGUCCAAAAGACAGUUUUCCCUUGCCUUGAAUAGAUCAGAUUGUGGAUUCCACCUCCGGGCAAGGAAUGCUCUCUUUCUUGGAUGCCUUCUCCGGAUAUCAUCAAAUCCCCAUGUCCCCGGAUGACGAAGAAAAGACAGCAUUCAUAACGCCACACGGCCUCUAUUGCUACAAAGUCAUGCCAUUUGGACUCAAAAAUACUGGCGCCACUUAUCAAAGAUUGAUGACUAAAAUCUUCAAACCUCUGAUAGGCCACUCGGUAGAGGUAUAUAUUGACGAUAUCGUGGUUAAAAGCAAAACUCGAGAACAGCAUAUCCUUCACUUACAAGAAGUUUUUCACCUCUUGCGAAAGUAUGGCAUGAAGCUAAAUCCUUCCAAAUGCUCCUUUGGCGUGAAUGCUGGCAAAUUCCUGGGAUUUAUGGUCAGCUAAAGAGGCAUAGAAGUCAGCCCGGAUCAAGUCAAAGCAGUCAUGGAAACACCCCCUCCCAGGAACAAGAAGGAGUUACAAUGCCUCACAGGCAAGCUCGUUGCGUUAAGGCGUUUCAUAGCCCGCUUCAUUGAUGAGUUGCGACCCUUCUUCUUGGCAAUACGAAAAGCUGGAGCACACGGAUGGACGGACAGUUGCCAAAACGCUUUGGAAAGGAUUAAGCAUUGUCUUAUACAACCACCCAUCUUGAGCAGCCUCAUCCCAAAGGAGAAAUUGUACAUGUAUUUGGCAGUAUUAGAAUGGGCAAUCAGCGCCGUUCUAUUCCGCUGCCCCUCACCCAAGGAGCAGAAACCUAUCUACUAUGUCAGCAGGGCAUUGGCAGACAUAGAAACCAGAUAUUCAAAAAUGGAACUAACAGUCUUAGCCCUUCGGAGCGCUACCCAAAAGCUCCGGCCCUAUUUCCAAGCCCACCCGGUGAUCGUGUUAACCGAUCAACCCCUUCGCAACAUUCUGCACAAACCAGAUUUAACCGGGAGAAUGCUGCAAUGGGCCAUUGAGUUAAGCGAAUUUGGAAUCGAAUUCCAACCUAGAUUGGCCAUGAAAGGCCAAGUAAUGGCUGACUUCGUGCUAGAAUAUUCCCGAAGACCCAGCCAACAUGACGAAUCAAGUAAAAAAGAAUGGUGGACUCUGCGAGUUGACAGAGCCUCACGCUCAUCAGGCUCUGGAGUCGGGCUCCUAUUACAGUUCCCAACUGGGGAACAUUUGGAACAAGCCAUCCGGCUGGGAUUUUCUGCCUCUAACAACGAAGCAGAAUAUGAAGCCAUCUUGUCCGGAUUGGACCUCGCCCUCGCUCUAUCCGUCUCCAAACUCCGGAUCUACAGUGACUCACAACUCGUGGUAAAGCAUGUCCAGGAGGAAUAUGAGGCUAAAGACGCACGCAUGGCGCGAUACUUAGCUAAAGUAAGAGACACCUUGCAGCAAUUCACCGAAUGGGCAAUCGAAAAAAUCAGGCGAGCUGACAACAGGCUCGCUGACGCCUUGGCCGGCAUAGCUGCCUCCCUCCCCAUCAAAGAAGCCAUUCUAUUGCCCAUACAUGUGCAACCCAACCCCUCUGUCGCAGAAAUUUCCACCUGCAAUACCAUUGAGACAAACCAGGCGGAUGGCCAAGAAUGGACGUAUGACAUCACAGAGUAUAUCCGGACCGGCACCCUACCCGGAGAUCUCAAACGGGCACACAAAGUCCGGGUGCAAGCUGCCCGUUUCACCCUGAUUGGGGGGCACCUGUACAAGCGAUCCUUCACAGGACCUUACCUUCGAUGCCUAGGGCAGUCAGAGGCCCAGUAUGUGUUAGCUGAGUUACAUGAGGGAAUAUACGGAAAUCAUUCGGGAGGACGAUCUCUGGCACAUAGAGCUCAUUCGCAAGGAUACUAUUGGCCAACAAUGAAGAAAGACGCGGCAGCAUAUGUCAAAAGAUGUGAUAAAUGUCAAAGGUAUGCUCCCAUUCCACAUAUGUCAUCAACAACGUUAAAAUCAAUCUUAGGCCCAUGGCCCUUCGCACAAUGGGGCAUGGACAUAGUGAGACCUCUCCCAGCUGCACCUGCCCAAAAGAAAUUUUUGCUUGUUGCCACAGACUAUUUCAGUAAGUGGGUGGAAGCUGAAGCAUAUGCUAGCAUCAAAGACAAUGGUCCACAAUUUGAUAGCAUUGCAUUCAGGAAUUUCUGUUCGGAGCUAAACAUCCGGAACUCAUACUCCACACCACGAUAUCCUCAAAGCAAUGGGCAAGCAGAAGCCACAAACAAGACCCUAAUCACUGCCUUAAAGAAAAGGCUUGAGCAAGCCAAAGGAAAAUGGGUCAAGGAGCUGCCCGACGUCCUAUGGGCCUACCGAACUACACCCGGACGGCCAACAGGAAACACUCCUUUCGCUCUCGCAUAUGGAAUGGAUGCAGUCAUUCCUACCGAAAUAGGUUUCCCUACUAUCCGGACUGACGCAGCAAAACAGAGUGAUGCAAACAUAGAAUUAGGAAGAAAUUUGGAUUGGACGGAUGAAGUGAGGGAAAACGCGGCCAUCCGGAUGGCAGAUUAUCAACAAAGGGCAUUAGCACAUUACAAUCGCAAAGUGAGGCUAAGAAGCUUCAAAAAUGGUACGCUAGUCCUUAGAAAAGUUUUUGAAAAUACUACUAAAGUGGGUGUGAUUCAUGCCCAAUUGGUGUCUCAGCUGAUUCAUGUCCAGCUGGUGCUCCUUGGAUGAGGGAGUGAUCAACAAAAUUUAUACCUAUAACACCAUACACUAGGGUAGCAAAUAAAAAGCUACUAUAGUAUAGUGGCUCUAGGAUCGUUCACUGGGAAUGAUUAACAAGCAAUCAAGGAUACCAAUUCCAAGUGAAUUGGUCUUGUUUCAUUUCACGGUUAGCUUAAGAAAUAAAACACAAACUUUGAUUGGUAAAGGUUGAGACUUAAACUAACUAACUUAACAGAAGUUUGGAAUAAUUUAGGAAGAAAAGCAUUCCUUGGAGAUUUAGGUUCACUGGGGUGGUUCCUCAUGCAAAAGACACGGCUCUGGUCAGUUGGUUCAUUUCCUCGCAUUAGAGAUUCAACAUAUAGUUAAUUCUCUAACCGGUGAUGUACAGAGACUCCUUCAAUUAGAUUUCACUUUAAUUCUCUCACUGAUGCAACUUGCAAUGGUUCAUGCCUCUCACCAAGCCUCAACCAUUCAAGGUGAUCUUUAACCUUGGACUUCCUUUCACAAACUCACAAGAGAUAACUAAUGGAUGUCUCCUAAGAGUCCAAAAGCUUAUCAAGUGUUGGUUAUUCUAGAAAAUCCCACCUUGAAGUCACCUACCAAAGGCUCGCAAGGGGUAAACUAGUGCAUUUCCAUGGUUGGAAAUCACUUGCCUUACCAAGUGUUGGCCCAGGUGACUCUAAGGUGUUUUAAGUUAACUAAAAACAUUGAAAUCACUAAAGGAUUUCACUUCCUCUUCAUUACUAGCUAAAACCACAAAGCUUUGCAUUCUUGCACUUGGAACCUUCCCCGGCAACCUUAGCUCCAAGGAAUUGGAGGUUUAGUUACUCAUUCUCUGGGGAAAACUCCUCAGAGAAUUUAUAACUAAAAAAUAAAAUGAAAAUACAAAGUGAGAAGGUAAGGCAGUAGAAAGAAAAGACCUUUACUUGCUUACCAAAUGGUUACAGAAAAAACUCCUCCUUGAGAACAUGCUCCCGAGAGGUAUUUAUAUCAAAACAAAAUAAAACUAAUUCUUACAAAGAUAUUUAGUCUUUUUACUAACUUAAAAACUAAGGAAUCAUGUAAUUGGUCGUUUACAAGGAGUAUUUUGGGAUUUAGACAACAAAAAUCUAAUGGAAAAUAUCUCCCAAUGUCGGUAGCAAGCUUCGGGAGGCUUCAGGAGCCAUUUUGCAGGAGAAAAGUGGUGUCUGCGAAAUUGGUAGCAAGCUUCGGGAGGCUUCAGGAGCCAUUUUGCAGGAGAAAAGUGGUGUCUGCGAAAUUUCGCAGACACCCAAGAGGGCUGCGAAAUAUUUUUGCAAUAGCAAGCUAUCUUCACCAGGCUGCAAAGUUGGCUUCCAUCUUGAGGUUCCUAGCUUCCCUCUUGCGGCAUAAAUCAGGCAUCGUCAGAAGGAGAAACACUCUACUGUACAAAAAUGCUGCGAAAUCACUUCGCAACAAAAGGGUGAUUUCGCAACACUCUCCAAAAUGUUCUCUUCAGCUCGGAGUGAUUGGCUUGUAAUGGCUGCAACUUCUUCGUUUCAACUUCGAAUUGCACACCGUUUGAAGCAUUGGAUUGUUGACUUCCUGAGCUUUGAAAUGGUAUAUAGCAUGCAUCAUUUGGACUUCAGAAAGUGCCCCAAAAGUGGCUGCUACAACUGUCAUCAAGAACAUGCUUUAUGGCAGAUUCUCUUUGCUUUUUCUCCUUGCAAUCCGGAUUCACUCUUCUAAGCUUUGCCCAAGAUUCCUCAUAGCUCUCCUCAUUAUUGACUUGCUUUGGUGAUCAAAAUACUAACAAAAACACCAAAACUUACACAAAGUGAUCAAAAUUGCUUUAAAGGAUCCUUAACAUGCCAAUUGAGUUAAAAGGCCUAAACUACUACUCAAAAGUGGUUAAAAGGAUUGAUUAUAGGCUAAUCAAAUAGCACUUUUUGAGUAGUAAUCAGGGUGCAGGGAAAUUCCAAGCCAACUGGGAAGGACCCUAUAUAGUGUCUAAGGCAAGUGACAAUGGAGCCUAUCAUUUACAAAAGUUAGACGGAACUCCAUUACUUAGGCCAUAGAAUGUGUCUAAUUUAAAACAGUAUUAUCAAUGAAAAAGCAAAGACAAGUGCAAAUGGAAAAAUAACUGUUUUAUUGAUGUAUAUAAAUGUAUGUACAAAGAGGUCUCCGGACCAUAGAAAGUACAAAAAGAAGAUUACAGCAAAAAGUUGCAAAACGACAAAAGCUAUCAGGGAGCAGCCUUAAAGUUUCUUCUCUUCACCCGGAGGAAUUGAAGGGACAUCCCGCUUUAUGCCAUUCUUCUUCAUACAACAGCGAUAGCCGAAGAUGAAGGUGUCAUCCACUUGUUUUUGGUAGUCCACUUCAAGUUCCUCCCUUUCUACAGCAAACUCCCGCUCAAGCUCUUCUCUUUGCACGGAUAAGCGCAACUGCAAAUCUUCCUUCUGCUUCUUUUCAAUAGAAGCCUCUGUCCGGAGUUGCCUCACCUCUCCCCCUAUCCGGGCUAUCUCAUCCUCUGCCUCAUGCAGACGGGCAAUCGAUGAUUCCUCCCGGUCCUUAGCCUCAGCCAAUUCCACCCGAAGGGCUUCAUUGUCCUCUCGAGCGGUGGAUAAGCUGGCUUCAGCCUCCGCCAGUCUCAGGCGCAACUGAUCUUCAGCAUCUUUGCGCCGAAUGGCGAAGGCCUUCAUAUAAUCAGUGGUCCGCAGCAGGUCAGUGAAAAGAUCGUAUUGAUUGGCCAUGCCACGGAGACCACUCACCAGCUGCAGGCAAAUAGUCAAAACAAGAAAAGCAAAAUUAGAAAUCACACCGCAAACGCACAUCAGGAUGACAAAAAUCAAAGAAGCAUAAAAGCAGUUUACCGUUUCCACCAUCUCGAACAUCUGGGCUGAAGUCAUGACAGUGGGCAAGCCAGGUGGAAUCUGUUUCAGCUUCUCUUCCAACUCCGUGUAGCUAAAAGGACUAGCGGAGCCGCAAGCAGCAUCAUUAACAGGAUCCCCGCCUGAUGAGGCAACAGAAGGAGACUCUUGUUCCGGAUUCUGGGCCUCAACAUUUACGACCGGAUGGGUCUCCCCGGGUGCAACCUCAGCCGGGACCAUCACAGGGACGGCUGAAGGCUCAGUUGCCAUCUCCACUUCACCCCCCUCCGGAUGAGCGUCGUGGGCGGAUGAGCAACUAACUUCAAUCUCUUGCUGACGAUCUUGAAGCCGCCCGAGGAGUUCGGACCUCAGAUUGCGCGCCGAGCGAGGCCUCUUUGAAGGUGGCCCCUUCACCAGAAUAAGAGCCAGACAGUCCAGAUCGUCAGAGGGCUGACUCUGACUUUCCGCCCCAGCUUCCUCCAUGGGGGUCGCACAAACGGCCUCAGCUGCAUCGGCAUCUGAAUUACGAGAGUCCGGAUGGUUGACGGACACAGCUUCCUCAGCCAAAUUCGCCAGACGGGCAACCGCUGCCAAGGAGGUGCUUGAGUGGUUCAGCCCCGCGACGUGUCCGGAUCCGCUUGAGAUGGAAUGAGGAGCAAGGUUCACGGGCUCCUCUAUCAUUACCUCCGCCUCGUGAGUAAUGGGCGGAGGAGCAAAUUCCUUGGGAGGAGUGGGCUCCUUCACGUCCUUCCCAUUCUUCUUCACCAGCUUCCUCCUUUUCGCUGGAGUUUUCUUUGGAGAAGAGUCUUGAUUACUACCAAAAAGUGCUAUUUUGUAGACCUAAUUAUAAUGGUUUUAAGCACCUUUGCGUAGUAAUCAUAUUCAUUUAACCCAAUUAAUUCAUUAAGGUCCUUAGUAAUUGGUUUUAACCAUUUUGUGGCAAGUUUACAUGUUUAUAUCAGCUUAUGAAUCAAUUCAAGCAUGCCAAAUGAUGGAGGAGCUACUUGGACAAGUUAAAGCAAGAUUUUAGCUACACCAAAGCAAGCCAACAAAAGGAGAAAAGCAAAGAGAAGCAAAGAGAAGCAAAAAGAAGCAAAGAGGAAAACAGAUGACAGCAGCUUCAGUCUUCUUUGGCACUUUUGGAGUACUUCCCGAAGUCCAUUUUCUACAUACUAUAUACCAUUUCAAAGCUCAGGAAGUCAAGAAUCCAACGUUUCAAACCGUGUACAAUUUGGAGCUGAAAUGAGGAAGAUAUGGCCUUCAGAAGACAACUGCUCCAGGGUUGUGCGAAAAUUUCGCACAACACCUUCCAAAUUCGCACAGCCCAUGCGUGGUGCGAAUUUUCCUCUGUUUCUGCCGACUCCACACGAGAUCUUUUCUUUUGGAUAUUUUUGUAUAAAUUUCCAUUCUUCUCCUUGUAAUCCACCAAUCAUAAGAUUUCUUAGCUAGGAAGGUUGGAAAAACUUCUCUAUUUAUAUCCCCUUGCAUCCGUUGUAACAAAUAUUGAUAUAUUGAUAUAUAGAUAUAGAAUACAUAUUACGUUUUACACUUAGAAUAUUUACAGAGCUCUCCCGUUUCUAUUUUCUUAGUAGCCAAACAGCCUUUGAGGGUUUUUCCUCAAAGGAUGAUUGGCUAAAACUUUUAGUUUCUCAAAGUAUGGAUGUUAUGUGAUGACUUGGAUGCAAUCCCAUGGAAAUUUCUCGCACCUAGAAGGUAAGGUAGUCGUUUUUCAUUAAAGGUUCAUUAAGGCAAAGUUUGGUUUUUAUUUCCUUUGGACAACUUCCAACGGCCAAUACUUGAUAAGCUUUUGGAUUUCUAUCCAUUAGUUAUCUCCUACGAGCUAUUGGAAGAUGAGGUUUUCAAUUCCAAGUUUUGCAUUAAUCCGUUAGAACCAAUUUCAAUGGCCAUUGAAAGGUGAGUUUAUCACCUGGAAUGACUUUGAGUUGCCAAUAUUUGGUAAGCUUUUGGCUUUAGACCAUUAGUUAUCUCUUACGAGCCAUUCAAAGGAAGUCUAAGGUGAAUAACCAUUGAUGAAAUUCACUACCAUCUAUUUUGCCAUUUUAAAGGAUUAAAACUUGAUUUGCUAAAUCCAUACCGGUUCGGGAAGCAAGCAUCACCAUAGUUGCAACCCCAACGCGAGGAGCCUAUCCUGAGAUUUUCAAUUUGCAUAAGAGCCAGAGCAUAGCUAUCCUAUCUUUGAGAAACUUGUUUUUACACCCUUUCAUUUUAGUCUUUAAUGUUAGCUUAGAUUAGUUUAAAUCUUUCUAAAACAUUUACAUCUUCUUUUAAAGCUAACAUCCAUAAGAAAAUCACCUAUUUUCCUAAUUUGAAUAUCACUUGUGUUUGCGAAAACCCUUCCCAGUGAACGAUCCUAGAACCACUAUGCUAUAGUAGCUUGGCUACUUUAGUAAUAGUAUUCAAGGUAUAAAUUUUGUUGAUACGCCUUUAAAGCUAAGCUACCAUGAGUCGAAUCAAGUCUCCGUCGCGUUUCUGUUCGGGAGCCUUCCGAAGGGUUCCUUCGUUUUUCUUCUUCUCCCGAUUGUCCAGGAGAACUCGGCGUUUUUCAGCGUCAGCCUCUUUUAACGCCUGGUAAAUCGGGAGAUCCUUCACAGUGUAAUGCUCCCCAGGCACUACCUCAUUUGGCAUCUUCCUGGGGAGAAUGUUGAUAACGUAUUCUUGGGGCUCCAGGACGACCGCCAUCAGGUUCCGUGCAGUCAGCAGCGUCUUGCACUGCCUCUCCUUGGCCUCUAUCUCAAACAACUUGCUAAGACAGGCAAAAGACGCCUUUUCCACCCAGUCCACAAGGUGGCCCCUCAAUUCCGGACCUACAAUAACAGCAACAAAAGAUGAGAACACCAUCCGGAAAAGUCAACAAAAAAUCAACAAAGUAAAAGCCGGACAAUAGUCGCAAAGCAAACCUACCCGGGACCAUCAAGGAGUAGUUUGGAGAGAAAGGCCUCGCCGGAUGCUCCAAAAACCCCGCCCAGGCACCCCGGACCACCACGUGUCCCGUCGCCCCUCCCUUUAUCGAAUCUGGUAGCUCCGUCACCAAUUGAAGGGAGGGCAGGUGUGCGGACAUGCUGAAGAUGUCAUUUUUUACCUUCUUCAGAGAAUAAACAAAAAACACCUCCAGCAGCGUGAGGUCGAGGUCGUACAGCAUGUUUAUGAUGUUGCAUCCCAUCAGCACCCGGACGAUGUUGGGAUGAAUGAAGACGGGAGGAAUCUGGGUGAAAUGAAGGAACUCCUUGAACAACGCCGGCAGAGGGAACCGGAGCCCCGCGUUGAAUUGUUCCUUCGAAAAGAUGAUGGUUUUUUCUUCUGAUUUAUCAGUAGGCACAAGCACCCUCCCAUCCAGCAAUUCAAUAGCCACGCUAUUCGGGAUACAGAACCGUUCCCGGAAUUCCUUCGCGUCCAGCUUAUCUGUCGUUUUUUCACGAACCUCGCUAGCCCGGGAAGUUGAAACAGUCUUUUUUGCAGCCAUUUCUUACCACAAAGACAAACCAAAAUCUACAUACAAAGAAGCGCAAUGGGUAAAACACAAGUAACCCAGAAACUACACAAACCCUAAACCAAAGCAGUCAGAAAAAAAAAAAAAAAAAAUAACCCUCAAAAAACCCCAAAGCACCAACAAAUGCCAAACAGUCGUAAGCGACUUACCCAAACAAAACCCAAACAAAUCAGAAACCAAGACCAAAGAACCAACAAAUGCAACAAAAGGAACAACAAUAGCAAAAGUACACGUACCAAAUGAAGCUCUGAAGGAGAAAGGUUGCUGCCUCGAUACAAAAUCACCAACAGCAAACGAACGACGCAACACAAAAUCACCGAUACAAAAGAGCUUUCGAGUUUCUUUUCUCAGAGAAGCAAAGGACACAACGGAAGCAAGAAGAAGAAAGGCUCUCAGGAGAAUGCAGUAGGGAAAAAAAUGCAAAAAGAAGGUACAGUGCGCUAUUUAUAAGGGGACAAGACCUCGGAAAGCCAAACGUCCAAACAAAUGCCAUCAUUGAAACGACAUAUUGCCUGGGAAUACCCAGGGUCGGCGGCUCAUCAUAAAUGUCUUUUUUGGCUUCCGCACCCCCACUCGCCACGUGGCCCAGUCAGACGAAGAGACCUCUUCAGUUUUCAAAAAAACCAGUUAUUUUUAACCCGCCCAUUUUCUGGGCAAAAUAGGCAAGUUAAAAAGGGGGGCAAUGUAGGGACCCCUCCCUUUGGGAAACAUAUGGCACGCAUCUCACAGUGACACGUGGCACGUGUCAUCAGCCGGACCAUCAUCAUCCGGAUCCCCCUAAGGAUGCGUAUUAUACAGUUCUCCUAUCCGGACCGCCUCAAGGAAAGGCAAAUGACGUUUCAGCUUCUCCUAUCCAAGGAAGAGCAAAUGACGCUGACAGAUCAUAGACAUCCGGACAACCUUCAUAACACAUUCGCUCCACAAUACAUCCGGAUAAUCAGCAUGUGACAUCCGGAUAUAAUCGUCCGGCUCAUCAAUUAAAGUAAAGCGAGUCUUACACGCUAUCACAACAAACAGCCAUGGCCCACAUCCUAUCAUCUGCAGAGUGAGAAGACAAGAUGAAGUGACAGCAAGUCACUUCCCACGAUCAGUUUUACGUGAUCACUUCCCACAAUCUUUGACAGCCGCAUCACCUACCAUGGUUUCUGACAGCCGCUCGUAGGGUGAUGAUGCUCCUACUGACGCCUAUUAUCAUCAUAACAACAUAAAAUAUCUCCUCACCAUUAAUGAGGAGGACAGUACCCCUGAAGCUGUUUAUAUAAGCCUUCACACGAAGAAGAAGGGGAUCAUCCUGGUAACCUCCUAAUACCUGGUAAAGGGCCAACUGAUUUAUAUCUCUCUCUGACCAUGGCUAACAAAACCAUCGGAGGGUGCGUCCGGACACCCUGUCUGGAUGCCUUCUUGCAGGUAUAACGACUGGAUCAAGAACCUUUAUGAGUUGAAAUCACGUGUCCAUCCAUUUGGCAACUACGUGGAUCAUCAAAGACGCGAGGUAUCAACAAUUGUUAUUUUGAACCCGCUUUUCUGAUGGCAUAUCCACUCCGGAAUCCCAUUUCUUUCAGCAAUAAAAGUUCUGACAGGUCUUCUAAAGUCACGCGCCUGCACAAAAAUUACCCUCUGAAUUUUGUGUCCCCGUGAAAAGAAAGGUUAACUGAUGUAUGAAAACCAUAUCUGAAUUUUGGAUUUAAAACAUUUGAAUAAAGAAGACCACAGUAGAAUUGAUGGACAUCUAGAUAAAUUAAACCUGAUGGAAGUUCUGGAAUAUGUUGAAGCAUCUUGCAGUGACUCAAGUAAGAGAUAAUGAUACCAGUGAUGAUAGGUAAUAAAUUUCACUGGGAAAUUCCCUUAGAUUGCAGCCUUGAAGCUUUAAUGUCCUCAAGGAGCAUAAACCGGACAAAGACGGCAAUGGAAAAUUCAUUGAAUCUAAAUGCCCAACAAUAAGAUGCUCUAAAGAUUGCAGUCUCCCCAAGUUGUCUGGCAAUUUGUUGAAGUUUGGACAGCUUCUGAUAAAGAGAGUUUUAAAAGAUGUCAAAUUACAAAUACUCUCAGGAAGAUUCACAAGGUUUUUGCAUUGUGACAGAAACAAAGAUUGAAGCUCUCUUAGAUGUUGAAUUGAUGAUGGUAUCUCUUUUAUGGCGGUUCUAUCUAAAUAAAGAUUUCUCAAGCUCUCCAUAUCUUGCAGGAUUUCUGGAAAGCUCUCUAGUUGUGAACAGCCAGAGCAGGAGAGAGUUGCAAGGGAUUUGAAAUCAAAAAUGCUACUGGGCAGACUAGUAAGAUUGUUGCAAUCCUGAAGACAUAAACUAUCAAGUUCCAAGGGAUUCUCGAUAAUGGGUACUUCAUUCAUAUCACUGCCCUUAAAACAGCACUUCCGUCGAAGCGUCCCAUCCCGUUGGCAUGCCCGACAUAUUCUAACAUCUGCAUCCUCAUGGCUUUGUUGAAGGUCUUGGGAGUAUAUAAGGCGGACUCCACACUCCUUUACUUUCAAGGCUUUCUCAGAAUUACUGUAAAAGUCGUAAAAGGUAAACCCAAUGUGAGUCCAUUGAUCAGAGCAAUACCUUUCCGGAAUAGCCGCCUUGGUAUAGCAAAUCACCCACGUCUGACCUGAUACACUCUCAUUAUCUUCGUCCUUGUCUUCUUUAUAGCAAAAACAAUUGGAUUGAAAGCAAGGACGAUCUAAAACUUCACGUCCAUCACCAAUCAUAGCCAAAGUACACAUCAGACUACAAGAACGUGUAUGUUUAUGUUCAUUCUUACGAAAAGAUUCAGCCACAGAUUUAUCGUCUGUUUCAUUCUCCCAUGCAUAAGCAGAUUCAUCCUUAGAUUUAUUGUCUGAUUCAUUCUUGGACCCGUGUGCAGAUUCCUUUUCGGGUAUGUCCUCAGAUUCGUAAGCAAGUGGAACAUAAACACAGC
rnacentral:lncRNA from 1 species